AUUUAGGUAGCGCCUCGUGAAUUCAUCUUCGGGGGUAGAGCACUGUUUCGGCUAGGGGGUCAUCCCGACUUACCAACCCGAUGCAAACUACGAAUACCGAAGAAUGUUAUCACGGGAGACACACGGCGGGUGCUAACGUCCGUCGUGAAGAGGGAAACAACCCAGACCGCCAGCUAAGGUCCCAAAGUCAUGGUUAAGUGGGAAACGAUGUGGGAAGGCACAGACAGCCAGGAUGUUGGCUUAGAAGCAGCCAUCAUUUAAAGAAAGCGUAAUAGCUCACUGGU
rnacentral:rRNA from 1 species